rnacentral:lncRNA from 1 species
GCAGUGGCACACACCUUUAAUCCCCACGCUUUGGAUACAGAGGCAAGCAGAUCAUUGACAGUUCUCAGCCAGCCUGGUCCUCAUAGCAAGUACCAGGACUAAAGAACUUGUCUCAAACAACAACAGACAUGUAUAGAAUCACUUUUAAAAGGGGGAAUUUCAUCUGUAAAAUAAAGAUGUAAGUUUUAUGUAAAAAUAAGCAACUUUUAAGCUAUUUUCUGUAGUAUGUCACUACCUCUGACACUGAGGCUGGCUGGGUCCAUCCCCGAAGCUGCUGACAGCGUAAGAUUGUUCAUGCUUGGUUCACCACCAGACUCUUCCCUUGGAUACCAAGAAGCCAUGGUCGCCAGGUGGUGGUGGCGCACGCCUUUAAUCCCAGCACUUGGGAGGCAGAGGCAGGUGGAUUUCUGAGUUCAAGGCCAGCCUGGUCUACAAAGUGAGUUCCAGGACAGCCAGGGCUAUACAGAGAAACCCUGUCUCAGAAAAACCAAAAAAAGAAAGAAGCCAUGGUCGUGUCCAAAUGGAGGAGACAGCUGCAUGUAGAGGGUUAGCCUUCUGGGUUGGCUGUAGGUUGGAUGAUAUCUGGGGAGAUUUCUCUAUUUCUAAUGUGUAAAUCUUACUCUACAUUAAGAAGCAGAACCAACCGGGGAGUGGUGGCACACCCCUUUAAAUCCCAGCACUUGGGAGGCAGAAGCAGGCAGAUUUCUGAGUUCGAGGCCAGCCUGGUCUACAGAGUGAGUUCCAGAGAACCUGUCUCCUGGGGAAAAAGAGAAAAAAGAAAGAGAGAGAGAGAGAGAAGCAGAACCCUUUUCACCACUUGAUAUCACUAUGUACUCCUAGAUCCCCAUUCAGCCUUAAUGUAGGUCAAGGAACUAUGGCUUGGUUUAUUUAUGUGUAUAGUGUUCUGCUUGUAUGUGUUCUGUGAGCAGCAAGUGCUCUUUAAUUGUUUAGUCAACUCACAUGAAACUGUCACCAUCAUUAAGGUCAUAACAUAUCCUCUAUAUUUCAAGUCCACUCCCAUCCCUUAUUACUGUGGCUUGGGUUCGGGUAGUCACUUAAUGUCGGAUGUGUUUAAGUACAGGACACCGCUCUUAGCUGUGGUCCCCAUGCUUUGAAGUACAAUGCCAGAACUACCCUCCAUUGCUGUUGGUAUCCUUGAACAUCACUACCCCCGGCCCUUGACAAGCACCAUCCUUUUUUUGCUAUUGAAUAUGUUUUAGAGAUCAUGGAAAGGUGAGAUCUACUGUGUUUGUGUGUCUCACUUAUUUCACUCAGCAUGGUGCCGUCCAUCUUACUCAUGUGGUCACAAAUAAUAGGACUGUUCUCUGUAUCCCUUCUUGCAUCCUUGGGCAGUCAGGCUUUUGUGAGUGCUGCUGCAGUGAACAUGGGAAUGCCAUGUCUCUGGUACUCUGACCUCAGUUUUAGCAGUGAGCUUAUUGUACCCUAUGGCAUUUCUACUGCUCACUUUUGGAGGAACUUUCCCACUGUUUGCAUAAUGGCUGUACCAAUUUUCAUCCGGCCCACACAACACAAGGGCUCCCUUUUGUUCAAACCCUGUCAUCACUUGUUAUGUUCCCGUGUUUUAGCAGUAGCUAUAGUAUAUAUAGUAGUAGUAGACAGGUGUGAGGUGAAGCCUCGUUGUGGCUUUGAUUCCACACUCCUGUUGGCCAUUUUAUAUCUACUUAGGAGAAAAGCUUAUUCAUACCCUUUGCCCAGCUUUUGUCAGGGUCUUAUAUCACAGCAACAGAAAUGAAAUUAGAACCAAGAGGCCACCCAGCUCCUGUAAGAUUCUUUGCUCUUUUUAUUCAUUGUCUUUUUUUUUUAAACUUUUUUGAGAUUAAUUUUUUUAUUAGAUAUUUUCUUUAUAUACAUUUCAAAUGCUAUCCCGAAAGUUCCCUAUACCCUCCCCCCACCCUGCUCCCCUACCCACCCACUCCCACUUCUUGGCCCUGGCUUUCCCCUGUACUGGUGCAUAUAAAGUUUGCAAUACCAAGGGGCCUCUCUUCCCAGUGAUGGCCGACUAGGCCAUCUUCUGCUACAUAUGCAGCUAGAGACACGAGCUCUGGGGGUACUGAUUAGUUCAUAUUGUUGUUCCACCUAUAGGGUUGCAGACCCCUUCAGCUCCUUGGGUGCUUUCUCUAGCUUCUCCAUUGGGGGCCCUGUGUUCCAUCUUAUAGAUGACUGUGAGCAUCUACUUCUGUAUUUGCCAGGCACUGGCAUGGCCUCACAAAAGACAGCUACACCAGGGUCCCUUCAGCAAAAUCUUGUUGGCAUAGGCAAUAGUGUCUGGGUUUGGUGGCUGAUUAUGGGAUGGAUCCCUGGGUGGUGUAGUCUCUGGAUAGUCCAUCCUUUUGUCUUAGCUCCAAACUUUGUCUCUGUAACUCCUUUCAUGGGUAUUUUGUUCCCUCUUCUAAGGAGGAAUGAAGUAUCCACCCAUUGGUCUUCCCUCUUCUUGAUAAUGAUUGUCUUUUUGUUCAGCAUGUAGUUUCCAUACCUGCUGAGAGCUUGCAAGGUCUUCUGUUUGACUGUGUGUACUGUUGAAGCUCCCUGGAAUUCCAUACUUCCUCUAUUUGUGUUCUUCAGUUCCGAAUUUCUAAGGUUCUUGAGGUUCCUUUCUUCUUCUAAUGCCUUGUUCAGGUGUUGCUCUCCUUGCUUGGUAGUCUUGCUGUGUUCUCUUGCAGUUCAGUGGGCUGCUUUAAGAUCCUUUUAAUGCCUUGUUAGGCUAUUUGCCGCUCCCCAUAUCUCAGGUUAUGCUUCUGGAGCUCAGCUUCAUUCCACUGGUGCUUGCUGUUGGUGCGCUCUCAAGCCUUGCAUCACUGUCCUGUUUUAAGAAGCAGAUACCUUCUGCUUUUACUAACCUGACUUGGAAAAAGCUUCACCACCCAUCCUAGCCAGGGUUCAGGGACAUGCAGAUAUAUGAACCAUGAGAGACAGUGCAUUCAAACCACCACAGAACUGUAAGUAUGGAAGUGUGCCACUCGUUUCUGUAAUGCACUGUAAGUGCAUGUCUAUUGCAGUGAUGAAGCAUAAUGAGCAAAGCAGCUUGGGGAGAAAAGGGUUUAUCCUGAACUGAGGAGAGCCGAGGUAGGAGCUUAAACAGGAUGGAAACAUAGAAGUAGAGGCCAUGAAGGAGUGUGGCUUGCUGGCUUGCUUUGCCUGCUUUCUUAUAGCACUCAGAACCACCAGCCCUUGGCACUACCCACAAUGGGCAGGGCCUUCCCUCAGCAAUCACUGGUUAGGAAAAUGCCCUGCUUGUUUGCCUACAGUAGCAUCUUACUUCCACCCCCACCUCCAGGGUUUUUGAGAGGAUUUCUUAGUGUAGCCCUGUGUGUCCUGGAACUAGCUCUGUAGAAAAGGCUGGUCUUGAACUCAGAAAUCUUCCUGCCUCUGCCUACUGAGUCUGUGCUGUGCCCAGCUACAGCACAUCUUUUGGAGACGUCUCACAUGAUUCUAGCUAUCAUCUCAGAUGAUUCUAACUAUGUCAAAUUGACAUAGUGUGCCACUCAUUUCUGGAUAUACCAGGUUUUCUUCCUAGCCCCUUUACAGAACAGGGAGGGGAUUUUGUGAAUGUCAUGUGUAUCAGUAUGUUUACACAUGGCAUUUAUGACUUCAUUAAGCCUGGCUUAACACAGAUGACUCAGGUACCCAGACAACACUCUAGCAGUCACACCCUUCCCGUUCUAUAUCUCUGGUUCCCUUUCUUCUGUGUGAGAAACAUGCAGUUGCUCAGUCACACAUUGUACGUAUUGCUGUUAGGUUGGCUGACUGAAAGACUGUAGAGAGUUUUGUGAUUAGUUCAAGAUGUGUUUCUGAGUCCUCUGGGAUAGGCACAAAGCGGCCAGAGCCAAAGCACCUGAUGUUGAGUUGGGGGAUUGGUUCUCGUUUCCAUGCUCUGAAAUGUAGAUAACACCAUUGUUGCUGUUUGUUUUCCACUCGAGCCUUCCCUCCAUCCUUCUGAUUUAUGGAUUGUACAUUACUUUUAACAAACCAUUAUAUUCAUGAAGUUUUACUGUGUGCUGUGUCCUUCUGACAUAUUCCAGACAAGGAACCUUUGAAAUUCCAAAUAUUCCUGUUUAUCAGUAAACCAGAUGUGUGUCUCUGGUGUGCCACAGCUGUGAAAGUAUGGCUUAUUGCCAGUGGCAGCUGCAGUGUGACUUUUUGUGGUUCUGAUUACAUGGAGAUACAUGUGCCAGGAAUUGUAGGUUAAAGCCAGCUGGCUAUGGCUCUCAGAGGGGCCCUCCCCUCACCUUCUAUGCAGGCCUGCCACUUUGCCAUCUCAGUAGGCUGCUGAGAUUGAGUGAGGCACAUAUAUAUGCUCCAGGGUCUCCCUGUUUCCCCCCCUGUUCUCUUGACAUAUCAUGAGAAACCACAUUAAGACUGCCUGCCUCUCCUGUGAAGGUUCCCCAGUAUAGGGGGAAUGCCAGGACCAGGAAGUGGGGGGGGGGGGUCGGGGUGGGGAUAGGGGAUUUUCAGGGGCGAAACUAGGAAAGGGGAUAACAUUUGAAAUGUAAAUAAAGAAAAUAUCUAAAAAAGUAG